AUUGUAGCCACCAUCAUAUCCAGAUGAUGGCCCACUCCGACCAGCAGCACCACGCCCAUCACCUAGAUUAUCACCACCAUAGCCACCAGUAGGACCACCAUAGGUUGGAGGAUAUGUAGUUCCACUGUAGCUUGCAGGAGGAGGAACUGCAUCAGUCCCAUAGUCUGCACUUCCAGCAUGGUAAGAUGGUGGAUAAGAGCCACCAAGACCACCAGAUGAGGGUGCCGAGGAUGGGGGAACCUGACUGUACCCACUAUCUUCUCCUCCUUGGUGACCACCAUAAGAAUUACCACCUCUGUUCCCUCCUUCAUUUCGACCUCCAUCAUGAGUUCCACUUCUACCACCAUGGAAACUACCGCCUCUGCCAUUACGAUUGACGCCAUAACCCCCAUCAGACCCACCUCUAUUAUAGCCGCCACCUCCGCCGCCG
rnacentral:misc_RNA from 1 species